rnacentral:lncRNA from 1 species
GGUUGAGGGCGGACGAUGACAAGGACAAGUCCUGACCGGGACGAGGAACCCGGCGCAGGCGGGAGCAGCCUGUCCUUACUGGGGGGCCUUCCUGUGCCGUGACAGGUGGAGGAUGCUGGAGCUGAGGGCAGGAGGCAGCUCAGAGCGGCUUCUGGGAGGAGGUGUCACAGCCCCAGGCCAACAUCUGGGCUGCAGAUGCUGGAAGGCUGAUCAGAUGGCCCCACUUGUGACGGCUUCUCCUGCUGUGUCCGGGGGCCUCGUCCCUGUCCUGGGAGGGGUGUGUCGGAGCCUCCAGAGCCCAUACCCUCUUCUCUCCCCAGAGAUCCAGAUGCGAGCCCCGCUGGCCCUCCAGGACAGGGAUGGAGACCUCAGCGUGGACGUGACAGUCCUAGUGGCCCAGCAGCUGAACAGCACGGGGGAGCUGGUGGUGACACCAGCCACACAGGUGCCGGCUCUCCAGGGGCGGGGCCUGUCCUCCCUCAGCCAGCAAAGAGCUGCAGGUCUGAGGGUAGCAACACCUCCCCUCCCUCCUGGGCCGCUGGCCCAGCACAGGGUCUGCUACAGCCAAGGUAACUGUGCCCUGACCAUGCUGGACGAAACGGGCACCCACUGCUCACCCCUGCACGUGUCCUGGGGGCCCGGGGUGGACGAGAGGGUCCGCCCGACUCCCCCCGGCUUCCCCCUGCCUCUGUGUUGUCACCGUGUCACCUCUUCUGCCUUGCUUCUUGGUGGGCACACCACAUCCGGCCCAGGGCCUGGCACAUACAAGCUGCUCAGUGGGGGAGAGAGCGAGCACACAGGCCGCCUGGCUCCUGGCAGGCCCUGCUGUGUGUGCGCUUCCCAGUCUCCCCAGCACUGCACGCUCACGCGGGGAACGUCUCUGCUUCUCUUUGGAUAA